rnacentral:rRNA from 1 species
UUUAAACUGAAGAGUUUGAUCAUGGCUCAGAUUGAACGCUGGCGGCAGGCUUAACACAUGCAAGUCGAGCGGAAACGAUGAUAGCUUGCUAUCAGGCGUCGAGCGGCGGACGGGUGAGUAACGCGUAGGAAACUACCCAGUAGUGGGGGACAACAGUUGGAAACGACUGCUAAUACCGCAUACGCUCUACGGAGGAAAGGGGGCUUCGGCUCUCGCUAUUGGAUGUGCCUGCGUGAGAUUAGCUAGUUGGUGGGGUAAAGGCCUACCAAGGCAWCGAUCWSUAGCUGGUCUGAGAGGAUGAUCAGCCACACUGGGACUGAGACACGGCCCAGACUCCUACGGGAGGCAGCAGUGRGGAAUAUUGSRCAAUGGGCGAAAGCCUGACGCAGCAACGCCGCGUGAGCGAUGAAGCCUUUCGGGGUGUAAAGCUCUGUCAAGAGGGAUGAUUAUGACGGUACCUCUGAAGGAAGUCACGGCUAAUUACGUGCCAGCAGCCGCGGUAAUACGUAAGUGGCUAGCGUUAUCCGGAUUUAUUGGGCAUAAAGAGCACGUAGGCGGUUAAUCAAGUCAGAUGUGAAAUUCUACAGCUCAACUGUAGGCAGCAUUUGAAACUGGUUAACUAGAGAUUAAGAGAGGAAAGUGGAACUCACAGUGUAGCGGUGAAAUGCGUAGAUAUUGUGGGGAACACCAGUGGCGAAGGCGGCUUUCUGGCUUAAUUCUGACGCUGAGGUGCGAAAGCGUGGGGAGCGAACGGGAUUAGAUACCCCGGUAGUCCACGCCGUAAACGUUGUUCACUAGGCGUAGGAAGCAUCGACCCUUUCUGUGCCACAGAUAAUUCGUUAAGUGAACCGCCUGGGAAGUACGACCGCAAGGUU